rnacentral:rRNA from 1 species
GUGAGCCUAAUCCGUUCAUCAUGACGUACUCGCAGAAGAAGCACCGGCUAACUCGUGCCAGCAGGCGCGUAAUACCGAGGGGUGCAAGCGUUAUCGAAUACUGGGCGUAAGCGCACGCCAGCGUUUGUUAAAGUCAGAUGUGAAAUCCCGGGCUCAAACCUGGGAACUGCAUUGAAACUGGCAAGCUAGAGUCUCGUAGAGGGGGGGUAGAAUUCAAGGUGUAGCGGUGAAAUGCGUAGAGAUCUGGAAGGAAUACCGGUGGCGAAAGGCGGCCCCCUGGACGAAGACUGACGCUCAGGUGCGAAAGCGUGGGGAGCAAACAGGAUUAGAUACCCUGGUAGUCACGCUGUAAACGAUGUCGAUUUGGAGGUUGUGCCCUUGAGGCGUGGCUUCCGGAGCUAACGCGUUAAAUCGACCGCCUGGGGAGUACGGCCGCAAGGUUAAAACUCAAAUGAAUUGACGGGGGCCCGCACAAGCGGUGGAGCAUGUGGUUUAAUUCGAUGCAACGCGAAGAACCUUACCUACUCUUGACAUCCAGAGAACUUUCCAGAGAUGGAUUGGUGCCUUCGGGAACUCUGAGACAGGUGCUGCAUGGCUGUCGUCAGCUCGUGUUGUGAAAUGUUGGGUUAAGUCCCGCAACGAGCGCAACCCUUAUCCUUUGUUGCCAG